UUUCUUCUUUUUCAUUUUCUGUCUCACACUCCUCUCCACUGCGUCACUCUCCCACCGGUACCUCCAUACCACAUUUUCACCAUCAUUUUUCCGGUAAGAUCACCGGAAAAUCCUUAGGAACCUCUAAGCAUCUUCAUCCCUUUAUUUGAGGUUCUAGCUAAUCUCCUUGAAGCUUGGAGAAUUAGAAUUUUGCGGUUACGAGUCUUUGUGACAACAGAAUCAAAUCCAGGUCAGUGUCCUUUCACUUUGGAUGACGCGUUCUUCCCUGCUGUCCAUGAGGGGAAGAGGUUCCUUGAUUGUGUGUGGGUGAGAUUGCUGCCCAUGGGGCCAAGAGACCACAUGCAAGGGAGGUCCUAUUUGACGCGCUCUCUCUGCUGCCCAUAGGGGGAGAGAAAAACCUUGAGGGUAUGGGUGAGGCUGCUGUCCAUGGGCCAAGAGUCUGCAUACCAGAGAGGACAAUAUUAUGCUAGUUGUGAAUGGGUGGAUCCCCUGACCGGUUUAUCUGGUAGUAUGAUAGAUUUGUGAUAAUUUAUCAUAUGCUAGA